rnacentral:rRNA from 1 species
AGUGUCCUACGGGGCGCAGCAGUAGGGAAUCUUCCACAAUGGGCGAAAGCCUGAUGGAGCAACGCCGCGUGGGUGAAGAAGGUCUUCGGAUCGUAAAACCCUGUUGUUAGAGAAGAAGGUGCGUGAGAGUAACUGUUCACGUUUCGACGGUAUCUAACCAGAAAGCCACGGCUAACUACGUGCCAGAAGCCGCGGUAAUACGUAGGUGGCAAGCGUUAUCCGGAUUUAUUGGGCGUAAAGGGAACGCAGGCGGUCUUUUAAGUUUGAUGUGAAAGCCUUCGGCUCAACCGGAGUAGUGCAUUGGA